rnacentral:rRNA from 1 species
AACGUAGGUGGCGAGCGUUAUCCGGAUUUACUGGGCGUAAAGGGCUCGUAGGCGGCCAACUAAGCCAUACGUGAAAUCCCUCGGGCUUAACCGGGGAACUGCGUCUGAUACUGGAUGGCUUGAGAUUGGGAGAGGGAUGCGGAAUUCCAGGUGUAGCGGUGAAAUGCGUAGAUAUCUGGAGGAACACCGGUGGCGAAGGCGGCAUCCUGGACCAACACUGACGCUGAGGAGCGAAAGCCAGGGGAGCAAAGCGGG